UACGUAGGGACCAAGCGUUGUUCGGAAUUACUGGGCGUAAAGGGCGCGCAGGCGGCUGCUCAAGUCAGGCGUGAAAGGCCUGGGCUCAACCCGGGAAUUGCGCUUGAGACUGGGCUGGCUUGAGUGCGGGAGAGGAUGGUGGAAUUCCCAGUGUAGAGGUGAAAUUCGUAGAUAUUGGGAAGAACACCGGUGGCGAAGGCGGCCAUCUGGACCGCAACUGACGCUGAGGCGCGAAAGCGUGGGGAGCAAACAGG
rnacentral:rRNA from 1 species